UACGUAGGGUGCGAGCGUUAAUCGGAAUUACUGGGCGUAAAGCGUGCGCAGGCGGUGAUGUAAGACAGGUGUGAAAUCCCCGGGCUUAACCUGGGAACUGCAUUUGUGACUGCAUCGCUGGAGUGCGGCAGAGGGGGAUGGAAUUCCGCGUGUAGCAGUGAAAUGCGUAGAUAUGCGGAGGAACACCGAUGGCGAAGGCAAUCCCCUGGGCCUGCACUGACGCUCAGGCACGAAGGUCAGGGGAGCAAACGGG
rnacentral:rRNA from 1 species